AUUGAACGCUAGUGGGAUGCCUUACACAUGCAAGUCGAACGGAGUGGCGAACGGGUGAGUAAUGUAUCGGAACGUGCCCAGUAGCGGGGGAUAACUACGCGAAAGCGUAGCUAAUACCGCAUACUUGUGGAGCGGCCGAUACCGGAUUAGCUUGUUGGUGGGGUAACGGCUCACCAAGGCGACGAGCCGUAGCUGGUUUGAGAGGACGACCAACCACACUGGUACUGAGGCACGGACCAGACUCCUACGGGAGGCAACAGAGGGGAAUUUUGGACAAUGGGGGAAACCCUGAUCCAGCCAACCCGCGUGUGCGAUGAAGUCCUUCGGGUUGGAAAGCACUUUUGGCAGGAAAGCGGUACCUGCAGAAUAAGCACCGGCUAACUACGUGCCAGCCGCCGCGGUAAUUC
rnacentral:rRNA from 1 species